rnacentral:rRNA from 1 species
AUACGUAGGGGGCGAGCGUUGUCCGGAAUGAUUGGGCGUAAAGGGCGCGUAGGCGGCUUUGCAAGUCAGUAGUGGAAGUCCAUUUUUCAAGGAUGGAAGUGCUACAGAAACUGCGGAGCUUGAGUGCAGGAGAGGGUAUCGGAAUUCCCGGUGUAGCGGUGAAAUGCGUAGAGAUCGGGAGGAACACCAGUGGCGAAGGCGGGUAACUGGACUGCAACUGACGCUGAGGCGCGAAAGUGUGGGGAGCAAACAGGAUUAGAUACCCUGGUAGUCCACACUGUAAACGAUGAAUGCUAGGUGUAGGAGGUAUCGACCCCUUCUGUGCCGCAGUAAACACAGUAAGCAUUCCGCCUGGGGAGUACGGUCGCAAGAUUAAAACUCAAAUGAAUUGACGGGG